CUCGCUCUGUCACCCAGGCUGGAGUGCAAUGGCGCGAUAUCAGCUCACAGCAACUUCUGCCUCUCGGACUCAAGUGAUUCUCCUGCCUCAGCCUCCCUGAGUAGCCGUGAUUACAGGCGCCCGCCACCAAGCCGGAAUUUAAGCUGGAAAAGGUUGGGCAGCUUAUUGUUGUCAAAUCAUAUAUGCAUGAAUAGAAACUAAAGAAGAAUAUAUCUCGGCAAGAAGGACUUCAGUGCUAAUUAGCAAGGUAGAGACAACUUAAGAUUUUACACUUGGUUUCCAUUUUCAAGACAACCUUAAUGCUCUGACCGAUUCCGGCUUGGAAAAGCUCUGCUUUACUUGUCAGAUUGAAAAAAAUGUUUUCUUAAAAAUACCUUUGUAUGUUUUAUAUUAAAAUAAUUGCACUAAAAUUGAUUAAUCAGAUAUCAAAUAUCAUACGUAGAAUAGUAAUGACAUAGCAUAGAGAAGACAAAAAUUGGGUUUCCAUAAAGAUAAUGAGUCAUGCCAUAGAUUAUGACCAAAAGUACACUAUGGAAUAGUAAUUUGUCAGCAUUGCAUAUGUUAGUAAAAAGCAAAUAACUUGGGGAUGGAUGAUGCUACUUUUGAGGUUAUGCAUGAAGCUGAGGAUAAACAGAGCUUUCAAGGAAUGGAAAUAGAGAAUAAAGAAAAAGUCCAUGUAGUUUGUAGUAGAAAGAUUGUGAACAUGACCAGAUUCUUAACCCUUUUUAUAUGCACUCUAUUGCAAUAUGAAUUUGUUCCUUCUUCAUUAAGAAAUAAAUCCAUUUCCCCAAUUCCUGAAUUUGAGCUGGCUUUGUAUCUUGCAACAGAAGUGAGGGUAUAUGAGUUACAAACCAAAGCCUCAGUAGGUCUUGUGUGCAUUCAGUCACACUUUUAUAAUGCUGCCCCUAAUAUGUGGACAAGCUUGGGGUGAAGGAGGAAAGACCACAUGGGGCAUAGUCAGCCAAAAUGGCCAAGUCCAGUGUCCAGAGAUGUGAAAGAUUCCAAUCAAGAAGACAGGAACGCCAGCCCUCGGCCAACCCAUCAGUUGACCAUAAAUGCAUAAUCAAGCACAGAUGAGAACAGUUGAGCCCAACCUGGAAUAGAAAAAUAAUGGCUCAGAGAACCUACAGACUAGUAAGCUAAUAAAUGUUUAUUGUUUAAUUGUUUGUUACAUAGCAUUAUUAUUGCAAUAGAUAACUGGCACAAUAGUAAAAUAGCCCUGAAAGUUGAGUUACCUUAAGUAUUUUAGCUCUGUUAUCAACAAAUACGGUGAAUAUAAAUGAAUAACACAGCUUCUGUUUCUCUCUUUUCAAAAUUGCAAAAUAAAAG
rnacentral:lncRNA from 10 species